rnacentral:rRNA from 1 species
AAUAUUGCGCAAUGGCGGGAACUCUGACGCAGCGACGCCUCGUGAGCGAUGAAGGUCUUCGUAUCGUAAAGCUCUGUCCUUGGGUAAGAAGGUCUUCGGACUUUCCGGUACCUAUGGAGGACGCCCCGGCUAACUCCGUGCCAGCAGCCGCGGUAAUACGUAGGGGGCAAGCGUUGUCCGGAAUUAUUGGGCGUAAAGGGUGCGUAGGCGGCCUUUUAAGUCAGAUGUGAAAGCCCACGGCUUAACCGUGAGACUGCAUUUGAAACUGGAGGGCUUGAGUAUCGGAGAGGGUAGUGGAAUUCCCAGUGUAGCGGUGGAAUGCGUAGAUAUUGGGAGGAACACCAGUGGCGAAGGCGACUACCUGGACGAAAACUGACGCUGAGGCACGAAAGCUAGGGGAGCAAAC